rnacentral:rRNA from 1 species
UACAGAGGUGGCAAGCGUUGUCCGGAAUUACUGGGCGUAAAGAGCUCGUAGGUGGUUUGUCGCGUUGUUCGUGAAAACUCACAGCUCAACUGUGGGCGUGCGGGCGAUACGGGGCAGACUAGAGUACUGCAGGGGAGACUGGAAUUCCUGGUGUAGCGGUGGAAUGCGCAGACUAUCAGGAGGAACACCGGUGGGCGAAGGCGGGUCUCUGGGCGAGUAAACUGACGC